rnacentral:lncRNA from 10 species
GUAAUCCCCGCAGUUUGGGAGGCCAAGGCAGAAGGAUCACUUGUGUCCAGGAGACCAGCCUAGGCAAUAUAAAGAGACUCUGUCUCUAUAAAAAGAAAAAAUAAAGUCUAUCAAUUCAAAAAAAUAACAGGCUACUUGAAUAGAUGAGACUGGCUCACACGUAACAGAGGACAUGCAAUAAGGCAGUAGGUAAGCAGGUCUGCAGUGACAUGGUUCAGGAUCCCAGGUGCAAUUAUUUCUUCCACUUCCUGUGAUUCCUCACAUUUUAAAUUUUAAGGCAGUGAACUUCACAGCAAUAAGGACCAACUAAGAAUAAGCCUAUGAAAUUGGCUUGCACACCAUCAGCACUGUAUCUAUCUAAAUAAAGUCAUAAAUAAAUAAAUGUGUUCUUUUUAAUCCUAACCUUGGAGAAAUUGAGAAGAGAAAAUGAAACACACAUGAGACAGGUGAUAAGGAGAACACACCUGCCAGUUUGAGAAGAGCCCUCAGCAGCAUCGGCCAUUUGGCAGUGGUGGCAAAUGGAGUGAGCAGAGACUAAAUAUCUGCAUUCCACUGGUGGCCAUGAUAGUAAUAGAAAAUGCGUAAGGCGAAAGUGUUCUCACAGGACCAUACAGGGAAGUGAAUCAUCCUGGAUCACACAUGUCUGAGAUCCUGAGCUUCACACCUUGGGUCAGAUGUGUGUUGUCAGCUGAGAAACUGAGCUGCAUUCUUGAGCAUGAGCCAGACGCCUUGACAGAUGGUUAUUCUUUUCUGCUUGACCUCGAGUUACAGAGAUGCAGAUGAAGUCAAAGAGGAUACCAGAUGCAGCCAGUCUGCUGGGGAGGCACGUACGUCUGAGUGGGCCCAGCACAGCUGUUCUCCAGGGCAAGGCUUGGCCAUGGCAGCUGCCCCAGCGCCCGCAUUCAGCCCAACCCACCAGGUCACCCCAGUCCAGUCCGUGGUGCUCAGAUCCCCAAGCAAUCACAGGUCAGAGGCGGAAAGAACUACGUGAAUGUGUACAGUGAUAUUGGGCACAUGCUCUGAAGGAAGGGAAACCGAAGAACGUCAAGGGGCAGCGUUCAGAGGAGGGGAAAGAAUGCAGAGUCUGGGUGUGAUCCCUACCUGGACUCUCUUAGAAGCUCCACUAUCCUCUUCUCUAAUGAUCUGUCUUCCCAUUCCAGAAUUUCUUACCUUAACCUACUUAGCCUGAGUUAAAUAAGCAUCUGCAUGCAGAAAUAAAUAAGUGAGGGAAUUUGUACUUUUGUAACCCACAUUCUCCACUUGGAAAGAAGGGCAGAAGAAAGCAGGGAGAUUAAGGACAUGACCAGUGAUGGGGGACUUUGAGGACUGGCUGCACGUUUCUCCUGGAGAAGGGAUGGGGUGGAGGGUAACUUACAAGCGGAGGGGGCGAGAGAAAGGGAAGGAAAUAAUACUGGUGUGUGCAUGCUUUUGGGUCUAGUUAACUAGAUUCUCCCAAUUUCUCUUCCAUCAAUCUUUACAGUAUUUGCUAUGUAUUUGCACUACUCACCUCCAUCCUGCUGACUUUAUCAUUUUCUCACGCUGAAUCACGAUUUGUAAAUUGAGGAAGGAAGCACGGAUAAGUAGGGAUGGUGCCACACUACCUCUCAGGCUGGGCGCUAGAGGGCAGAAGCUUCUAGGAAAUCUUCACAGGCAGACCUUCACUUCUAAAAAUGCCCAAGGAUCUACAACACUGGUGAACCUGGAGAACAUUAUCUUAAGUGAAAUAAGCCAGACCCAGAAAGACAAAUACUGCAUAUCUCACUCGUGUGGAAUCUAAAUAAACGUCGAGCUCACCAUAACACGGAGUAGUAGUAUGGUGGUUACCAUGGACUGGGGGAUGUUGGUUACAGGGUACAAAACUUCAGUUAUAAGGUGAAUAAGGUCUGGAAACCUACUUUACAGCACGGUGACUAUAGUUAAUAAUAAUGUGUUGUGGAGUACUGUGGCAUGCCUCUGUAAUCCCCACUACUCAGGAGGCUGAGGUAGAGGAUUGCUUGAGCCCAGGAGUUUGAAACCAGCCUGGCCAAUGUAGUGACAUCCUAUCUCUUUAAAAAAGGGGAAAAAAAUGUAUACGUGAAAUUUGCUAAGAAAAUAGAUCUUAAGCAUUCACACCACACACAAACAAACAUGACAGAUAUGUGACUAGUUUGAUUGUGAUAAUCACUUCACAAUGUACACAUAUAUCAAAACAUCACAUUGUACACCUUAAAUGUGUACAAUUUUUUUGUUUUUUGAGACAAAGUCUCACUCUGUUGCCAGGCUGGAGUGCAGUGGCACAAUCUCAGCUCACUGCUAUCUUGACCUCCUGGGUUCAAGCGAUUCUCCUGACUCAGCCUCCCAAGUAACAGGGACUACAGGCACACACCACCACGCCCAACU